rnacentral:misc_RNA from 1 species
AGGUUCAAGCAGUUGCAUGGAAUCCAUUUGCUCCACAGAUUCUUCUGAGCGGAUCAUUCGAUCAUACAGUUUGCUUGAAGGAUGGGAGGAAACCCUCUCACAGUGGAUUUAAGUUUUCAGUUGGUGCUGAUGUUGAAAGCUUGGCUUGGGAUCCGCAUUCAGAGCAUUCAUUUGUGGUCAGCUUGGAGAACGGUACCGUCACUAGUUUUGAUAUCCGUGCUGCUAGUUCUGCUUCGACUUCUGAGACAAAGCCAAGUUUCACCAUCCAUGCUCAUGAUAAAGCAGCGUCCUCGUUGUGCUUCAAUCCUCUAGUCCCAAAUCUUCUUGCAACUGGCUCCACGGACAAGAUGGUUAAAUUAUGGGAUUUGACCAACAAUCAACCUUCUUGUAUUGCAUCUAGGAAUCCGAAAGCUGGAGCCGUCUUCACUGUAUCCUUCUCAGACGAUUGCCCCUUUUUUCUUGCUAUUGGUGGCUCUAAAGGGAAGUUGCAGCUAUGGGAUAUUUCUUCUGAAGAUGCCGUGUUGAAGAAAUAUGGCAAAUACGUUGCACAGAAAAAGCAGUCGCCCAAAUCAUAAUGCAAAUGUAUUCAUGGAGAUAUUGGUUAUGAGUUCUAAAAGUGAAAAUAUUGCCUCCCCAUUAUUUACACAUGAGCAUGGAAAAUUUUGCUGUUGCUGCACAUUGCCUGGAACAAAGUGAAAGAGGAAAGUGAAGAGUUUGGUCGAAUCAAGGUAGCUGUGUUUUUUUUUUUCUUUGGGACAUAACCAACACGAGUUCAUUGAAUGUAUCGUAAUGGAGAUUAGGUAGAGUUAUCUUGUACUUGUGUUGGUUGAAGGUAUUAGAUUUUCGAUGAUAUAUUAGUUGACGUCUAGCUAGCUGUUUGAACACACCAUUAUCUAGAAAAAGAAAAUGCAUUUGAGAUGUUGGUUGAUUUUUUAUUUGUUUAUAUUAGUCCGUUGAGGAUAAAAUAUGAAAGUAAGACAAU